AGAGUUUGAUCAUGGCUCAGGACGAACGCUGGCGGCGUGCUUAACACAUGCAAGUCGAACGGAAAGGCCCUUCGGGGUACUCGAGUGGCGAACGGGUGAGUAACACGUGGGUGAUCUGCCCUGCACUUUGGGAUAAGCCUGGGAAACUGGGUCUAAUACCGAAUAUGACCAUGCGCCUCCUGGUGUGUGGUGGAAAGCUUUUGCGGUGUGGGAUGGGCCCGCGGCCUAUCAGCUUGUUGGUGGGGUAAUGGCCUACCAAGGCGACGACGGGUAGCCGGCCUGAGAGGGUGACCGGCCACACUGGGACUGAGAUACGGCCCAGACUCCUACGGGAGGCAGCAGUGGGGAAUAUUGCACAAUGGGCGCAAGCCUGAUGCAGCGACGCCGCGUGAGGGAUGACGGCCUUCGGGUUGUAAACCUCUUUCAGCACAGACGAAGCGCAAGUGACGGUAUGUGCAGAAGAAAGACCGGCCAACUACGUGCCAGCAGCCGCGGUAAUACGUAGGGUCCGAGCGUUGUCCGGAAUUACUGGGCGUAAAGAGCUCGUAGGUGGUUUGUCGCGUUGUUCGUGAAAACUCACAGCUUAACUGUGGGCGUGCGGGCGAUACGGGCAGACUUGAGUACUGCAGGGGAGACUGGAAUUCCUGGUGUAGCGGUGGAAUGCGCAGAUAUCAGGAGGAACACCGGUGGCGAAGGCGGGUCUCUGGGCAGUAACUGACGCUGAGGAGCGAAAGCGUGGGGAGCGAACAGGAUUAGAUACCCUGGUAGUCC
rnacentral:rRNA from 1 species